ensembl:lncRNA
UUUUCAGCCCAGUCAGUCACUCAGCCAGUUUCUGCCUAGUCAGUCAGUCAGUCAGUUAGUUUCAGCCCAGUCAGUCAGUCAGUCAGUUUCAGCCCAGUCAGUCAGUCAGUUUCAGCCCAGUCAGUCAGUCAGUUUCAGCCAAGUCACCCAGUCAGUCAGUCAGUUUCAGCCAAGUCAGUCAGUCAGUCAGUCAGUUUCAGCCCAGUCAGUCAGUCAGUUUCAGCCCAGUCAGUCAGUCAGUCAGUUUCAGCCCAGUAAGUCAGUCAGCCAGUUUCUGCCUAGUCAGUCAGUCAGUCCGUUAGUUUCAGCCCAGUCAGUCAGUCAGUCAGUCAGUUUCAGCCCAGUCAGUCAGUCAGUCAGUUUCUGCCCAGUCAGUCAGUCAGUCCGUUUGUUUCUGCCCAGUCAGUCAGUCCGUUAGUUUCAGCCCAGUCAGUCAGUCAGCCAGUUUCAGCCCAGUCAGUCAGUCAGUCAGUUUCAGCCCAGUCAGUCAGUCAGUUUCAGCCCAGUCAGUCAGUCAGUUUCAGCCCAGUCAGUCAGUCAGUCAGUUUCAGCCCAGUCAGUCAGUCAGCCAGUUUCUGCCUAGUCAGUCAGUCAGUCAGUUUCAGCCCAGUCAGUCAGUCAGUCAGUUUCAGCCCAGUCAGUCAGUCAGUCAGUUUCAGCCCAGUCAGUCAGUCAGCCAGUUUCUGCCCAGUCAGUCAGUCAGUUUCAGCCCAGUCAUCAGUCAGUCAGUCAGUUUCAGCCCAGUCAGUCAGUCAGUUUCAGCCAGUCAGUUUCAGCCCAGUCAGUCACCCAGUCAGUCAGUCAGUUUCAACCAGUCAGUCAGUCAGUAAGUUUCAGCCCAGUCAGUCAGUCAAUCCGUUUCAGCCCAGUCAGUCAGUCAAUCCGUUAGUUUCUGCCCAGUCAGUCAGUCAGUCCGUUAGUUUCAGCCCAGUCAGUCAGUCAGUCAGUUUCAGCCCAGUCAGUCAGUCAGUCAGUCAGUCAGUUUCAGCCCAGUCAGUCAGUCAGCCAGUUUCUGCCUAGUCAGUCAGUCAGUCAGUCAGUCAGUCAGUUUCAGCCCAGUCAGUCAGUCAGUCAGUUUCAGCCCAGUCAGUCAGUCAGUUUCAGCCCAGUCAGUCAGUCAGUCAGUCAGUCAGUUUCAGCCCAGUCAGUCAGUCAGUUUCAGCCCAGUCAGUCAGUCAGUUUCAGCCCAGUCAGUCAGUCAGUCAGUUUCAGCCCAGUCAGUCAGUCAGCCAGUUUCUGCCUAGUCAGUCAGUCAGUCAGUUUCAGCCCAGUCAGUCAGUCAGUCAGUUUUCAGCCCAGUCAGUCAGCCAGUUUCAGCCCAGUCAGUCAGUCAGUCAGUUUCAGCCCAGUCAGUCAGUCAGUCAGUUUCAGCCCAGUCAGUCAGUCAGUCAGUCAGUCAGCCAGUUUCUUCCCAGUCAGUCAGUCAGUUUCAGCCCAGUCAGUCAGUCAGUCAGUUUCAG